AUUGAACGCUGGCGGCAUGCCUAACACAUGCAAGUCGAACGAGUGGCGGACGGGUGAGUAAUGUCUGGGAAACUGCCCGAUGGAGGGGGAUAACUACUGGAAACGGUAGAUAAUACCGCAUACCAUCGGAUGUGCCCAGAUGGGAUUAGCUAGUAGGUGGGGUAACGGCUCACCUAGGAGACGAUCCAUAGCUGGUCUGAGAGGAUGACCAGCCACACUGGAACUUAGACACGGUCCAGACUCCGACGGGAGGCAGCAGUGGGGAAGAUUGCACAAUGGGCGCAAGCCUGAUGCAGCCAUUCCGCGUGUAUGAAGAAGGCCUUCGGGUUGUAAAGUACUUUCAGCGGGGAGGCGUUACCCGCAGAAGAAGCACCGGCUAACUCCGUGCCAGCAGCCGCGGUAAUUC
rnacentral:rRNA from 1 species